rnacentral:rRNA from 1 species
GUGGGGAAUCUUCCGCAAUGGACGAAAGUCUGACGGAGCAACGCCGCGUGAACGAUGACGGCCUUCGGGUUGUAAAGUUCUGUUAUACGGGACGAAUGGUACGACGGUCAAUACCCGUCGUAAGUGACGGUACCGUAAGAGAAAGCCACGGCUAACUACGUGCCAGCAGCCGCGGUAAUACGUAGGUGGCAAGCGUUGUCCGGAAUUAUUGGGCGUAAAGGGCGCGCAGGCGGCGUCGUAAGUCGGUCUUAAAAGUGCGGGGCUUAACCCCGUGAGGGGACCGAAACUGCGAUGCUAGAGUAUCGGAGAGGAAAGCGGAAUUCCUAGUGUAGCGGUGAAAUGCGUAGAUAUUAGGAGGAACACCAGUGGCGAAAGCGGCUUUCUGGACGACAACUGACGCUGAGGCGCGAAAGCCAGGGGAGCAAACGGGAUUAGAAACCCGAGUAGUCC